rnacentral:rRNA from 1 species
AGAGUUUGAUUAUGGCUCAGGAUGAACGCCGGCGGUGUGCCUAAUACAUGCAAGUCGUACGCACUGGCCCAACUGAUUGAUGGUGCUUGCACCGGAUUGACGAUGGAUCACCAGUGAGUGGCGGACGGGUGAGUAACACGUAGGUAACCUGCCCCGGAGCGGGGGAUAACAUUUGGAAACAGAUGCUAAUACCGCAUAACAACAAAAGCCACAUGGCUUUUGUUUGAAAGAUGGCUUUGGCUAUCACUCUGGGAUGGACCUGCGGUGCAUUAGCUAGUUGGUAAGGUAACGGCUUACCAAGGCGAUGAUGCAUAGCCGAGUUGAGAGACUGAUCGGCCACAAUGGAACUGAGACACGGUCCAUACUCCUACGGGAGGCAGCAGUAGGGAAUCUUCCACAAUGGGCGCAAGCCUGAUGGAGCAACACCGCGUGAGUGAAGAAGGGUUUCGGCUCGUAAAACUCUGUUGUUGGAGAAGAACGUGCGUGAGAGUAACUGUUCACGCAGUGACGGUAUCCAACCAGAAAGUCACGGCUAACUACGUGCCAGCAGCCGCGGUAAUACGUAGGUGGCAAGCGUUAUCCGGAUUUAUUGGGCGUAAAGCGAGCGCAGGCGGUUGCUUAGGUCUGAUGUGAAAACCUUCGGCUUAACCGAAGAAGUGCAUC